AACGAACGCUGGCGGCAGGCCUAACACAUGCAAGUCGAGCGAGCAUUUCGGUGCUAGCGGCGGACGGGUGAGUAACGCGUGGGAACGUGCCCUUUUCUGCUGAAUAGUCCUGGGAAACUGGGGGUAAUACCGCAUACGCCCUUUUGGGGAAAGAUUUAUCGGAGAAGGAUCGGCCCGCGUUGGAUUAGGUAGUUGGUGGGGUAAUGGCCCACCAAGCCGACGAUCCAUAGCUGGUUUGAGAGGAUGAUCAGCCACACUGGGACUGAGACACGGCCCAGACUCCUACGGGAGGCAGCAGUGGGGAAUCUUAGACAAUGGGGGCAACCCUGAUCUAGCCAUGCCGCGUGAGUGAUGAAGGCCUUAGGGUUGUAAAGCUCUUUCAGCGGGGAAGAUAAUGACGGUACCAGCAGAAGAAGCCCCGGCUAACUCCGU
rnacentral:rRNA from 1 species